UACGGGGGGAGCAAGCGUUGUUCGGAUUUACUGGGCGUAAAGGGCGCGUAGGCGGCCUUCUAAGUCGAACGUGAAAUCCCCGGGCUCAACCCGGGAACUGCGUCCGAUACUGGAAGGCUUGAAUCCGGGAGAGGGAUGCGGAAUUCCAGGUGUAGCGGUGAAAUGCGUAGAUAUCUGGAGGAACACCGGUGGCGAAGGCGGCAUCCUGGACCGGCAUUGACGCUGAGGCGCGAAAGCGUGGGGAGCAAACAGG
rnacentral:rRNA from 1 species